rnacentral:lncRNA from 1 species
UACAAUUCAUUAAACCAGGUUUGUAACAUGCAAGAUUUUGUUAUUUAUUUAAGAUAUGUUUAUAUAUUUAGACAUCAAUAAAAGAUAGACAGAAGAAGUCAUAAGUUAGUUUGGUGGAACAAAAACACGAAAGUAAUAGAUUAUAUUUUAUUCUCUUAAAUGUAAGAGAAAAAUCAUAUGAACACACAUUUUAACAACCACACCGUAUUUUUAUACGAUUGGAGGCUUCGAUUCACUUUCCCACAAUUUUUAUUCAUCUUUGGUUUCCGUGCAAUAUUUAAAUCAGUCUAUAUCGUGUUAAGUGUCGAUACAAUAUUGGCAAAAAAAUGUGUGCAAAUAGCACAACUCCAAAUGUAAAUCACAUUUGAGAAAAUCCAUUUUCCAAUAUAAGAUAGACCGAAGAAGCUAUAACAUGGUUUGGAGGGACCAAAACAUGAAAGUAAUUUUUACUAAGACUAAAAAUAAAAAUAGUUAACCUUCAUUAUUCAAAUAGGAGAUGUCUUAUAAU